AGUGAACGCUGGCGGUAGGCCUAACACAUGCAAGUCGAACGGCAGCACAGGAGAGCUUGCUCUCUGGGUGGCGAGUGGCGGACGGGUGAGGAAUGCAUCGGAAUCUGCCCAGUCGUGGGGGAUAACGUAGGGAAACUUACGCUAAUACCGCAUACGACCUUCGGGUGAAAGAGGGGGAUCGCAAGACCUCUCGCGAUUGGAUGAGCCGAUGUCGGAUUAGCUAGUUGGCGGGGUAAUGGCCCACCAAGGCGACGAUCCGUAGCUGGUCUGAGAGGAUGAUCAGCCACACUGGAACUGAGACACGGUCCAGACUCCUACGGGAGGCAGCAGUGGGGAAUAUUGGACAAUGGGCGCAAGCCUGAUCCAGCCAUACCGCGUGGGUGAAGAAGGCCUUCGGGUUGUAAAGCCCUUUUGUUGGGAAAGAAAUCUUUCAGGCUAAUACCCUGGGAGGAUGACGGUACCCAAAGAAUAAGCACCGGCUAACUUCGUG
rnacentral:rRNA from 1 species